rnacentral:rRNA from 1 species
CCUACGGGAGGCUGCAGUGGGGAAUAUUGGACAAUGGGCGAAAGCCUGAUCCAGCCAUGCCGCGUGUGUGAAGAAGGCCUUCGGGUUGUAAAGCACUUUCAGUGGGGAAGAAAGCCUUGGGGCUAAUACCCUCGAGGAAGGACAUCACCCACAGAAGAAGCACCGGCUAACUCCGUGCCAGCAGCCGCGGUAAUACGGAGGGUGCGAGCGUUAAUCGGAAUUACUGGGCGUAAAGCGCGCGUAGGCGGUCUGAUAAGCCGGUUGGGAAAGCCCCGGGCUCAACCUGGGAACGGCAUCCGGAACUGUCAGGCUAGAGUGCAGGAGAGGAAGGUAGAAUUCCCGGUGUAGCGGUGAAAUGCGUAGAGAUCGGGAGGAAUACCAGUGGCGAAGGCGGCCUUCUGGACUGACACUGACGCUGAGGUGCGAAAGCGUGGGUAGCAAACAGGAUUAGAUACCCCGGUAGUC